CCCUAUAUAUUUUUUUUUAAACAAAAUCAAUAUUAGUUUCCGAAUGGAGCGAAGAAGCGUAUGGUUUUACAAAGAUGUUUAUUUUUUUCUGUGAACAACUUCUCUACCAGAAGACUUGCUCCGAUUUGUAUGUGUAGUAAUUUUUCUAAAAGAAAACUUCACUGGGGUGGUACUUUAAACGGGUCAUUUUUUGAUUUUCUCCGGAGUUUUCACAACAAAUUUGAAAAACUGGGAAAAAACAU